rnacentral:rRNA from 1 species
AUUGAACGCUGGCGGCAGGCCUAACACAUGCAAGUCGAACGGUAACAGGAAGCAGCUUGCUGCUUUGCUGACGAGUGGCGGACGGGUGAGUAAUGUCUGGGAAACUGCCCGAUGGAGGGGGAUAACUACUGGAAACGGUAGCUAAUACCGCAUAACGUGGCAAGACCAAAGAGGUGGACCUUAGGGCCUCUUGCCUGCGGAUGUGCCCAGGUGGGAUUUGCUAGUAGGUGGGGUAACGGCUCACCUAGGCGACGAUCCCUAGCUGGUCUGAGAGGAUGACCAGCCACACUGGAACUGAGACACGGUCCAGACUCCUACGGGAGGCAGCAGUGGGGAAUAUUGCACAAUGGGCGCAAGCCUGAUGCAGCCAUGCCGCGUGUAUGAAGAAGGCCUUCGGGUUGUAAAGUACUUUCAGCGGGGAGGAAGGGAGUAAAGUUAAUACCUUUGCUCAUUGACGUUACCCGCAGAAGAAGCACCGGCUAACUCCGUG